rnacentral:sRNA from 1 species
CGAGCGGAGCGAGAAAGCGUUGCCGCAGGCAACGACCCGAAGGGCGAGGCGCAACGCGCCGAGUAAUCCUUCCCCCACCACCA